UUGAUCCUGUCCGGACCUGACUGCUAUCGGAUUGAUACUAAGCCAUGCGAGUCAUUGUAGCAAUACAAGGCAUACGGCUCAGUAACGCGUAGUCAACCUAACCUAUGGACGGGAAUAACCUCGGGAAACUGAGAAUAAUGCCCGAUAGAACAUUAUGCCUGGAAUGGUUUAUGUUCCAAAUGAUUUAUCGCCGUAGGAUGGGACUGCGGCCUAUCAGUUUGUUGGUGAGGUAAUGGCCCACCAAGACUAUUACAGGUACGGGCUCUGAGAGGAGUAGCCCGGAGAUGGGUACUGAGACACGGACCCAGGCCCUAUGGGGCGCAGCAGGCGAGAAAACUUUGCAAUGUGCGAAAGCACGACAAGGUUAAUCCGAGUGGUUUCUGCUAAAGGAACCUUUUGUCAGUCCUAGAAACACUGAUGAAUAAGGGGUGGGCAAGUUCUGGUGUCAGCCGCCGCGGUAAAACCAGCACCUCAAGUGGUCAGGAUGAUUAUUGGGCCUAAAGCAUCCGUAGCCGGCUCUGUAAGUUUUCGGUUAAAUCUGUACGCUCAACGUACAGGCUGCCGGGAAUACUGCAAAGCUAGGGAGUGGGAGAGGUAGACGGUACUCGCGUAGGACGGGGUAAAAUCCUUUGAUCUAUUGAUG
rnacentral:rRNA from 1 species